UCGAGAAUUUUUCUCAAUGGGCGAAAGCCUGAAGGAGCGACGCCGCGUGGGGGAUGAAGGGUUUCGAUCCGUAAACCCCUGUCAUUUGCGAACAAUGGGCAUUCAUGAACAGUGGAUGUCUUGAUAGUAGCGGAAGAGGAAGGGACGGCUAACUCUGUGCCAGCAGCCGCGGUAAUACAGAGGUCCCGAGCGUUGUUCGGAUUCACUGGGCGUAAAGGGUGCGUAGGUGGUGGCGCAAGUUUGAUGUGAAAUCUCCGGGCUUAACCCGGAAACUGCAUUGAAUACUGCGUUGCUGGAGGUUUGGAGGGGGGACUGGAAUUCUCGGUGUAGCAGUGAAAUGCGUAGAUAUCGAGAGGAACACCAGUGGCGAAGGCGAGUCCCUGGACAACACCUGACACUGAGGCACGAAAGCUAGGGGAGCAAACAGGAUUAGAUACCCCCGUAGUCC
rnacentral:rRNA from 1 species